UUGCACUCUGCUUUCGAAGGCUAUGUCAAUCAAGUGACAUAGUCUUUUAGCAAUAAGUGCAUAAAGGGAAAGCUGUUAAAUCAGCAAGCGGCCAGACAACCGUUGGGAUAGAUCCACAGGUGAAGCAGAUUUUUCUCUGCCCUCAGCUACUAAAUCUAUCUUACAAAU
rfam:Eutrema salsugineum unplaced genomic scaffold scaffold_5, whole genome shotgun sequence.